rnacentral:rRNA from 1 species
UACGUAGGUGACAAGCGUUGUCCGGAUUUACUGGGCGUAAAGAGCGCGCAGGCGGUCGUUCAAGUCGAGUGUGAAAGCCCCCGGCUCAACUGGGGAGGGUCACUCGAUACUGAUCGACUUGAAGGCAGGAGAGGGAAGCGGAAUUCCCGGUGUAGUGGUGAAAUGCGUAGAUAUCGGGAGGAACACCAGUGGCGAAAGCGGACCGCUGGCCCUCUUCUGACGCUGAGGCGCGAAAGCCCAGGGGAGCGGAACGGG